rnacentral:rRNA from 1 species
AUGGCGGCCACCCUCUUCUCCACCGCGCUCUCGCACCACUUCAUCCCGCUCCCCUCCGCCGCCAGGCCCGCCGCCGCCUCGGCCUCCUUCGCCUGCGGCCCGCUGCGCGCCGUGUCGGCGCUGCUGGCGCCGCGGAGGCGGCUCCUGCUGCCCGUGGCCGUGGCCGUGUCGUCCGAGUUCGGGACGGAGGACGCCGAGGAGGAGCAGAGCGAGGGCGAGGGCGGCGGCGACUCCGAGGCCGAGUACUCCGAGGACCUCAAGGUCUUCGUCGGCAACCUCCCCUUCACCGUGGACAGCGCGCAGCUCGCCGGGCUCUUCGAGCAGGCCGGCUCCGUCGAGAUGGUCGAGGUUGUAUACGAUAGAAUGACCGGACGGAGCCGUGGAUUUGGAUUCGUCACAAUGGGUUCAGCUGAGGAAGUUGCUGCCGCCGUUGAGCAAUUCAAUGGCUAUACGUUCCAAGGAAGACCUCUCAGGGUUAACUCCGGACCACCACCACCCAGAGAUGAAUUCGCACCCAGAACACCGAGGACCAUGGGCGGCGGUGGCGGCGGCAGCAGCUUUGAUUCAGCUAACAAGCUCUACGUCGGAAACCUAUCCUGGGGUGUUGACAACUCAACGCUCGAGAACCUGUUCAGCGAACAAGGAAAGGUGCUUGAUGCUAAGGUCAUCUAUGACCGCGACAGUGGCAGGUCGAGGGGUUUCGGUUUCGUCACCUAUGGCUCUGCCGACGAGGUCAACAAUGCGAUCUCAAACCUCGACGGCGUGGACCUUGACGGCAGGCAGAUCCGGGUUACCGUCGCAGAGUCGAAGCCGAGGGAGCAAAGGCGGUUUUAA